GCCGGCUUAGCUCAGUUGGUAGAGCAGCGCUUUUGUAAAGCGAAGGUCGCGGGUUCGAAUCCUGCAGCCGGCG
rnacentral:tRNA from 1 species